AAUGAUCAGUCACAUCAUUGUGAUUAAUAUGGAUUUUAUUUGUAUAACAAUAACAGUGUGUUCAUCAACAUAACAAAGUAUGAAGAGAGCGAAAACGAUAUUACGUAACUGUAGUCACGCGGACUGGUUGAUCAUGAGGCCAUGAACCAUUGAGCACAAAACCAAAUUUUGAUUGACAAGAUCCACCGAAUGUUAAUAGAUUUUCCUCCUUACUGGCAAACAUACAAAUGAUGAAAAACACAAUAUGUUGGAUUUUUUGGUAAUGAAGUGCUAUAUAAAGCUUCCAUUUGAUAUCUUUGACAUUCUUUACAAUAAAAACAAUAUUUAUAAAAUAAUUUUCUAUAUCUUUCAUUCGCAAUACUAUUUUUUGUUUUCAUCCAUUUUUUCCAAAAUAAAUCAGGCAUUUUCCAUUAAAUGUCAGUAUGAAAAUGAAUAAAGUUUGCAAUUUAAUCUGUACGCAAAUUAUUACAAUAAACUAUCAUGUUUUU